AACGGAGGGGGCAAGCGUUAUUCAUCGUUAUUGGGCGUAAAGGGUAUGUAGGCUAUUUGGUGUGUCGUAGUCGUAAAAGCCAGAUUUUAGUCUGGUACGGGCUAUAACAUAAAAUUAGAAAAUUACAAAGUUAGCAGAAUUACUAAUGUAGAGGUAAAAUUCGGAAAUAUUAGUAGGAAUACCAAAGGCGAAAGCAGCUUUCUUGUGUUUUUGACGCUGAUGUACUAAAGCAUGGGGAUCAAACAGG
rnacentral:rRNA from 1 species